GACGAACGCUGGCGGCGUGCCUAAUACAUGCAAGUCGAACGCAGGGGGGACGGGUGAGUAACACGUGGGUAACCUCCCAUCAGAGGGGAUAACACUUGGAAACAGGUGCUAAACCCAGACGGAUGGAUGGAACCGCGGGGCAUUAGCUAGUUGGUGGGGUAACGGCUCACCAAGGCCACGAUGCAUAGCCGACCUGAGAGGGUGAUCGGCCACACUGGGACUGAGACACGGCCCAGACUCCUACGGGAGGCAGCAGUAGGGAAUAUUCGGCAAUGGACGAAAGUCUGACCGAGCAACGCCGCGUGAGUGAAGAAGGUUUUAGGAUCGUAAAACUCUGUCGUUAGAGAAGCGGUAUCUAACCAGAAAGCAACGGCUAACUACGUGCCAGCAGCCGCGGUAAUUC
rnacentral:rRNA from 1 species